GAGAUGAGUCUUCCCUUGACUUAAGGUCACGGAAGGAACGUUUAAGACGAAGACGUGGAUAGGCUGGGUGUGUAAGUGCAGCGAUGCAUUGAGCUGACCAGUACUAAUGAACCGAGCGGCUUAACCUUACAACACCGAAGGUGUUU
rnacentral:rRNA from 1 species